CACCAGGCCCCGGCGAGGCAGCGGCGGCCGCCCUUCGCUGUGCUUCCCCGUGCGGUGCUCUGGCAAGGAAGAAAGCCCACAAGGGCUGCGCAGGGAGGGGAUACCCAGGCUCCCCCUGCCCCAAAGAAACUGCAUCUCGGAGUGCUCCCAGCGCCGCGCCGCCGCGUUUCGCACGGCAUCAGCGAGGCGUCCCCAGGGGACAGGGCCGGGCCCGGGGGUCGUUCCCGCCCGCGGCAGCUCUCUCAUGCCCGGCUCCCAUCACGACACCUCGGCGGGCUCCUACACCGGCGGUGCCAGGGGUUACAGAGAGAAAUUAUGAAGUAGCUACAGGCGCUGGAAGCCCUAUUGCUGCAUAAAUCUCUCCGCUCGGGCUGCGACGAGCUUCGCCAGCAUCAUUUACUUUCUCCUGCAGGCAGAGCCUUCAUCGCCGGCGAAGAAAAGCAGCCAAAACAGCCCAGGCAGCAUCCGGCGGGGGAGCGAGAAGCAGACGAAAGCCUCCCGGAACGCCGCCCCAUGCGCCCGGCUUCGCGCCGGGCAGCGGCGCCCCUCGGGCAGAGGGAGGGACGGGGAGGAACCCCCGAACUCCCCCACCGGGGCCGCCUGAGGAUGGAAUUAAAAAAAAAAAAAAAAAAAGGAAGGAAAAUAAAAAUAAAAAAAAAAAAGGAAGGAGGGAACGAGGCAGAGAGGAGAGGAGGGCAGGAAAGCGGGGCGCUGCUUCCCGCUUCCCCUCGCCAGGUUCUCGAGGGUCUCCAGGAAAACGGGCAGCCGCGCCCGCCCGCAGGGGGCUCGGAGAAGCCAGCCCGGGGCACCGGGCAGGAGCGGGACCCGGCAGCCUCCGGCCCCUGAGGGAAAAGGGGGUUCUUUGUUCCGUGGGAUCUGCCGAGCGCUGCCCCAAGUGCUGCCAACUGGGGCCAACUUGGGAGAGUCUUUAGCCUUCCUCCUCCUCCAAGGCUCUGUCCGCAGCCCCAGGAGCAAACGGGGAGAGGGAGGUGGAGAAAAAGGGGGGAAGGAAGGGUGGGGGUAGGAGCCAGUUCCUGAAAGGCGGAGGGAGAGGUAAGUGAUGCUCUCUCCUAUUUUCCUGAUCUUCUAGGGAGGGGAUUGUUGUAAUUAAUCAAAUCCAGGAAGGAUUUUUUUUUUUCUUUUAGAGCGGCUCCCAAGAGCUUCCCCAGAUGCACUGCAUCGCCCCAGCCAGCCUGAAGGGAGAAGCAAGAGGGGAGCAGCCAGAGCACGCACCCUCGCCCCGCCUGCUUCUCAGCCAGGCUUUCUUCGCCUCCACCCCAGCCUGACAGAUCCUUCUCCCUUCAAAACUUUCUCUUAUGUGGUGUGCCGGCUUCGGGUGGGUGCUUUGCCUCCGCUGCUUGCUUGCUUGCUUCUCCCGCCUCGCAGGCGAUUUGCGGCUCUGGAGGGGUCCGCGUCGCACUCCCUCUACGCGGCUGCCGGAGCUCCCGGUGGGAACUAACAGGGGCUGCAGCUGGGAGGAGUCUCCGAGGAGGGCCACGAAGCUGCAGAAAGUUAGGUUACUCCUGCCAGAUGCCAGCUGGAAACCGCUUGGCAGGUCCCUGCCCCACCGCUUCUUCCCGAAGCGCCAAAAUCUUCUGCAAAAGUUGCCGGGAGCGUCACCGCUCCCCGACCAUCCCUGGGGCGCUCUGUUCCGCCGGUCCCCGACGGGGCGGCCGGGAGGCACCGCACGGCUCCCCUAUGGCCCCACCGGCCAGGCUUGCCCGUGGCAACCUCACCCUCCCUGCCUGUCGUUCUGCCGGCCGCACCGUGAUUUCCUCCCCUUUGGCUUUCCAGGUUUUCUCCUCCCCUCUUCACCGUUUCAUUCCUCUUCAGUUAAAAAAAAAUAAAAGGGAGCCAAUUAAAGCAGCCGUGCUCUGCAAAGCCCUGCCUCCUGCCCAGUUCUGCGAGCCUCCCCUCUCCCCGGCCCAGCUAGAGACAGCACCGCCGGGCUGGGGAGAAAAAGGGACUUGCUUCGGGCGGAGAGAUCAGCCGUCAGCCCGGGGUCCCUCCAUCCUCAGGACACUCGCGGCAAGGUUGCAGGUUGGUGGGGCUGCCUUGUGAAUGCUGCUCGGGAGCGGCGGAUCGGGGGGCUAAGUGCGGCGGGGGUGCUGUGCGGGACCCCAGCCCGGUGCAUGGCUGCGGGAAUCGGCGGUACUGUGGGGCUGUGCUAAUGCUCGUCCAUAAAAUCCGGAGCGGGGAAGCUGCU